CAGAAAGAGAUGGUCAUACCUCACGGGAGAAAACUGAAACGACAACAACAAAACCCAAACAUAAACAAACAACAACAGACAGGCAAAAGAAACAACUGCGCAAUUCACAUGAUUACUGAGUGUUCUGAUGGGAUAAAUACUUGAAAGGUAGAGAGGAACGAACAUCUUGCUAAUUGGGCAAUCAGUUACCAGGUCUAUGGCACUCAUCUAGACUACAGACGAUGGUGGCUCAGAUGUACAAGAUAUGACUGGCUUCUGGAUAUAAUCUUCAGGGAGACCUGACAAGAUUUACUGAAAGAUUAGAUGUGAGGUGUCAGAGACAGAGAAAGAUGAGUCAAAAAUGACACCAAGGUUUUAGGCAGAGCAACCUGAAGGGUUGCCAUUAACCAAAGUAGGAAAGAUUAAAUGAGGUGUAGAUUUCAGGAAGGACAUUAGUAGCCCCAUUUUGGAUCUGACUAGUGUGUGAUACCCAAUAACUAACUAAAGAGAGAUGUCAAGGAGGCAGACUGACAUAGAGAUCUGGAACGAAGGAGAGAGAUCUAAAACAUACAUUUGGAAAUCACUAGCAUAUACACAGUAGAAAAAGUCAUGAGGGGCUGUGGGUGGUGGCCCACAUCUGUAAUCCCAACACUGGGAGGCCGAGGCAGGCAGAUUACCAGAGAUCAGAAGAUUGAGACAAGCCUGGCCAACGUGAGGAAACCCUGUCCCUACUAAAAAUACAAAAAUUAGCCAGGUAUGGUGGCAACCAUCAGUAAUUCUAGCUACUCGGGAGGCUGAAGCAGGAGAAUUGCUUGAACUCAGGAGGCAAAGGUUGCAGUCAGCCGAGAUCACACCACUGGACUCCAGCCUGGAUGACAGAAUGAGACUCCAUCUCAAAGGAAAAAAAGAAAAGAAAAACAAAAAGUCACGAGAAAGAAGACUGAGAACUGAGCCCUUGGAAACAGCAAUGUGUGAAAGGUGAAAGAUGAGGAGAAGCAAGCAAAACAGAUCAUGAUGAACGAACCAGAACAGCAGGAGGAAACACCUGAGGGAGUGAGGUCCUGAAAACCAGUGAAGAUGCUGUUACGGAGGACAUGUCCUCCGAUGGGUCAAAUAUUGCUGACAGAUUAACUAAAAUGAGGUGUAAGAAAAAAAUCCCUAGAUUUAUUACAAAAAGAAAUUGUGAUAACCCUGAGAAAAACAAUUUUGGAGGAGUGCUGAAACUGAAGACUUCUGGUGUGAAGCCAAGAGCAAAUGGAAAGAGCAAAUGGAAAGAGCGAAUGGAAAGAGCAAAUGGAAAGAGCGAAUGGAAAGAGCAAAUGGAAAGAGUGAAUGGAAAGAGCGAAUGGA